rnacentral:lncRNA from 1 species
GGGGCCUGGUGGGUGUGUUCCCUGGCUGGCUGUGCGUGACGCUGCCUGUUCCUUUUGCAGGGGUGCCUGGUGCUGGAGGGGGAGUUCCGGCUCUAGGAUAUUACCCAGGAGCUGCUGGGGUUGGAGGCCUGGGAGCAGGAGGCCUAGGGGUUGGAGCUGGACUUGGGGGUGCAGGUGAGUACUGCCCUGAGAUACACAACCCACAGUCUCCACCUACAUGGCCCGAGGCAGCAGUGGCUGGCAAGCAGGCUCACUGCUGGCUGAGUCCCUGGGAGCAAGCACUUCUCCUGGGCACUGGUCAGCGGCUCCCCCCAGGGACCCCCCCCCCCACACACCCCUUGUGCAGAAGCACCUGUAGUGGGUCCUUCACCUUGGUGUGGAGGCAUCUGCUUCCUGAGCUACAGCGUCCCCCCAUAACCAAAGAGGGUGGCCCAUGCCCUCUUCUGCGGUGCUGUUGGAUUCUCCAGGGGGAGGGCCCUUCGGUCUCGCAGACUAACAUCUGGA